UGAAAUAGGGGUAGGAUGGGCUCUGUCAAGUCUUAAUCAUACACGUGUGAGAUGCUAAGAAAGCUAGAGCUGAAUUGGAUGCUCAUCUACUAGACUUAGACUUGGUGGAUGAACUAAAUAUCUCUAAACUGGUGGAUCCACAUAGGAGUAGGGGGGUCAAUUGACCCUUGCAAGCCCUGAAUCCACCGUAGGAGGCCAAGAACUUGACCCCUGCAAAUGCCUAGAAGGUGUUUGAUGAAAUGCCCAAAGAGGGAGCAACUAUAGCCAGGAGCAAGCAAGAAGCUUGCUGCGCAGCGCUGAGCGCUUCAUUUUUUCUUUUUUCCUAACGUCAAAACAACGUAGUUCCACUUAAGUUUUUUUUUUUUUUUUAUAAUUAUUAAUUUUAUAAUUUUAUUAUUAUUACUAUUAUUACUAUUUUUUUAAAAAACCUGGCCAAAA
rnacentral:lncRNA from 1 species